rnacentral:lncRNA from 1 species
GUACAAGGGUCGAACCAUGACCUAGUGGAAAGUCAAUUGCACCCAUUAAUGUAUAGUAUGAAUUUUAUUAGAAAAAUAGAAACAUGAAGAGAAAAAAAAAAUUAACAAAGACUAUAAAUGUAGCCUAGCAGGAAUUGAACUUGGGACCUAAGCAUUACAAUCUAAAGCUCUUGCCACUCUACCAGAUCUACUUUUCUAACUUUUAUAACAGACAGAAAAUAUAAUAUAAACAAUAUGAUGAAAUAAAAAAAACCAACAAGAAUCAUAGUAGCAGUAAUGCAGUAGCAGUAGUGCAGUAGUGCAGUAACAUGUUUUUUCAAGUUUAUCUUCUUCAUUCUAACACAAUAAUGAACUAUUUACAAACCACAAAAAUAUUUCCAAAUGCAAAAUGAUUAAUAAAUUUUAAUAUAAAGAAUAAAAAAUCUAAUCUUAACUAAAAUUUAUAAUAAUAAUAAUAAUAACAUAUAAUAAUUCAUAAAACAUAUUAGAAAUAAAAUAAAUAAUAAGAUAAAAAGAAAAAGAAAAAGAAAAAAAAUAUUAGUUUGAGUUUCUUAACGAAAUCAAAUCCCAAUGCCGGAAAACGAAGAAAAACAACAACUUCAAGUCGAAAUCAAAAUGCUCUCUCUCUCUCAACAAAUAUAUGAAAACGACGAUACAGAGUGAUACAAAAAUGCAAACAUGGGAAAGGAACAAGAAACAAACCGGCAGAAGGCGAAGUUUGGUGGUGAUUUCGUACGCGGUUUCCAGAAUGGAGGGUGUUGGAUUAGGAAGCUUCGGAGGUGGUUGUACGUAGUGAUUUGGAGGUGGGUUAGAAUGUGGUUGUAUGGAAGGAGGCGGAGGUGAGCCGGUGCCUAUGGUGGAGGUUUGUUAAGGUUGUAUUGAAGAUGCAGUUUGUUACCGUCUGAAGAAAGCAAACCAUGAAAGGGAAAAAAGAGUAGGUCUUUUGAAAAGUGGAAGGAAAUGUGUGAGUUGAAAUAGAAUAAAGUAAAAGUUUUUUUUAAAAAAAGUUGUUUCUCUCCCUCCCCAAAGAAACUUGUUCUGCGUUUUUUCCACUGCAUUCAAUAAGGGAGGAUAGUAUUAAUUUAUUUUAUUUAUUUUCUUGUGGGUCAUGUGUUGGCUAAUGAGACAGAAAUACAAUGGGUGGAAUUGUGAAUUGAUGAGAGGUGUCAGACGAGUGUUGGAGAGAAUGAG